rnacentral:snoRNA from 1 species
UGGAUAUAAUGAUCGCAAUUGGUCCGUGUUUCUGAAUAGCCUUCGAGCUACUGGAGAAAUACCAGCGAUUUUCCUACUGAUCCA